AACGCGAAGAACCUUACCAGGGUUUGACAUCCUUGGAAUUACUGUGAAAGCAGUGAGUGCCUUCGGGAACCAAGUGACAGGUGUUGCAUGGCCGUCGUCAGCUCGUGUCGUGAGAUGUUUGGUUAAGUCCAUCAACGAGCGCAACCCUUAUGAAUAGUUGGAUUUUUCUAUUCAGACUGCCCCGGUAACGGGGAGGAAGGAGGGGAUGAUGUCAGGUCUGUAUUACCCUUAUACCCUGGGCUACAAACGCGCUACAAUGGCCGGUACAAAGGGCAGCUAAGUCGCGAGACGGAGCAAAUCCCAUCAAAGCCGGUCCCAGUUCGGAUUGCAGGCUGAAACUCGCCUGCAUGAAGCCGGAAUCGCUAGUAAUCGCAGGUCAGCACACUGCGGUGAAUACGUUCCCGGGCCUUGUACACACCGCACGA
rnacentral:rRNA from 1 species